UACGUAGGGAGCAAGCGUUGUCCGGAAUCAUUGGGCGUAAAGCGCGCGUAGGUGGCUUCAUAAGUCCGUUGUGAAAGUCAAAGGCUCAACCUUUGAAAGCCGAUGGAUACUGUGGAGCUAGAGUACGGAAGAGGCGAGUGGAAUUCUCGGUGUAGCGGUGAAAUGCGUAGAUAUCGAGAGGAACACCUGCGGCGAAGGCGGGUUGCUGGGCCGACACUGACGCUGAAGCGCGAAAGCCAGGGGAGCGAACGGG
rnacentral:rRNA from 1 species